GUGGGAAACGAUGUGGGAAGGCACAGACAGCCAGGAUGUUGGCUUAGAAGCAGCCAUCAUUUAAAGAAAGCGUAAUAGCUCACUGGUCGAGUCGGCCUGCGCGGAAGAUGUAACGGGGCUAAACCAUGCACCGAAGCUGCGGCAGCGACACUAUGUGUUGUUGGGUAGGGGAGCGUUCUGUAAGCCUGCGAAGGUGUGCUGUGAGGCAUGCUGGAGGUAUCAGAAGUGCGAAUGCUGACAUAAGUAACGAUAAAGCGGGUGAAAAGCCCGCUCGCCGGAAGACCAAGGGUUCCUGUCCAACGUUAAUCGGGGCAGGGUGAGUCGACCCCUAAGGCGAGGCCGAAAGGCGUAGUCGAUGGGAAACAGGUUAAUAUUCCUGUACUUGGUGUUACUGCGAAGGGGGGACGGAGAAGGCUAUGUUA
rnacentral:rRNA from 1 species